UACAGAGGGUGCAAGCGUUAAUCGGAGUUACUGGGCGUAAAGCGCGCGUAGGUGGUUUGUUAAGUUGGAUGUGAAAGCCCCGGGCUCAACCUGGGAGCUGCAUUCAAAACUGACAAGCUAGAGUAUGGUAGAGGGUGGUGGAAUUUCCUGUGUAGCGGUGAAAUGCGUAGAUAUAGGAAGGAACACCAGUGGCGAAGGCGACCACCUGGACUGAUACUGACACUGAGGUGCGAAAGCGUGGGGAGCAAACAGG
rnacentral:rRNA from 1 species